rnacentral:rRNA from 1 species
UACGUAGGGGGGCAAGCGUUGUCCGGAUUUAUUGGGCGUAAAGAGCGUGUAGGCGGCUAUACAGGUCCGUUGUGAAAACUGGAGGCUUAACCUCCAGACGUCGAUGGAAACCGUAUGGCUAGAGUCCGGAAGAGGAGAGUGGAAUUCCUGGUGUAGCGGUGAAAUGCGCAGAUAUCAGGAAGAACACCCGUGGCGAAGGCGGCUCUCUGGGACGGUACUGACGCUGAGACGCGAAAGCGUGGGGAGCGAACAGG